AAGUCGUAACAAGGUAACCGUAGGUGAACCUGCGGUUGGAUCAUUACCAAUUAUUCAAUUAUUCUCAUAUUGCUUGGUUGUUUGGAGAGAGAAAUUAUUAUUUUUUUCUCCUUCAGUCAAGUCAAUUUAUGAGAAAAACACUUUGUGAACAAGUAAUUGUUUUUUUGGUGGUUUUUUAAGCCUUUUAACUUUCUAAAAGGUUUUUUUGCUCUAGUUUUUUUGCUGGAGUGAGGCCACCAAGGGACCCUUUUCCACUGUCUUUUUCAAAGGCAGCUUGAUUUAAGGUCUUUUUAAACAAACUCUAUUAUAUUAUUAUUAUUAUUACUUUUAAAAAUAUAAAAGCUAAUGAAAAAACAACUUUUAACAACGGAUCUCUUGGCUCUC
rnacentral:misc_RNA from 1 species